AGUUGGUGGAGUGAUUUGUCUGGUUAAUUCCGUUAACGAACGAGACCUCAGCCUGCUAAAUAGGUGACGCGAACCUUUGGGUUCGUGGACCACUUCUUAGAGGGACUAUUCGUGUCUAACGAAUGGAAGUUUGAGGCAAUAACAGGU
rnacentral:rRNA from 1 species